AUUGAACGCUGGCGGCGUGCUUAACACAUGCAAGUCGUGCGGUAACAGGCGUAGCAAUACGUGCUGACGAGCGGCGAACGGGUGCGUAAUACAUGGGAAUCUGCCCUUUAGUGGGGAAUAACCCGGCGAAAGCCGGGCUAAUGCCGCAUAAGAUCUUCGGAUGAAAGCGGGGGAUCGUAAGACCUCGCGCUGAUGGAUGAGCCCAUGUCGGAUUAGCAGUUGGUGAGGUAACGGCUCACCAAGGCGACGAUCCGUAGCUGGUCUGAGAGGACGGCCAGCCACACUGGGACUGAGACACGGCCCAAACUCCGUACGGGAGGCAGCAGUGGGGAAUAUUGGACAAGUGGGGAAACCCUGAUCCAGCGACGCCGCGUGUGUGAAGAAGGCCU
rnacentral:rRNA from 1 species